rnacentral:pre_miRNA from 1 species
AUUUUUGUUUUGAGUUUCUGAUAAAUUUUUCCAUUAUUCCGAGUUCCUGAUAUAUUAAAAGUUUUGUUUUGGGUCUCUAUCGUCAAUUAAGUGAUGAUGUGAGCUCUUCCAACAUAUAUCAGUCGUUGAGAUGGUACCACAUCAUCACUUAACUGACGACAAAGACUUAAAAUAAAAAUUUUAAUAUAUCAAGAAUUCACAACAACGGAAAAAUUUAUCAGAAACUCAAAACAAAAAUC